rfam:Coprobacillus sp. CAG:183 genomic scaffold, scf233
GAAAGUCUUCAGGGCAGGGUGUGAUUCCCGACCGGCGGUAAAGUCCGCGAGCAUAAGCUGAGUAGGUGAAAUUCCUACACCGACAGUAUAGUCUGGAUGGAAGAAUGACAUUU